AAGAAUGUGUUAAAACUUAAUGCAAAUAAUUGCAGUACUUAAUUGUACUUAAUCUCAUCCCUGUAUCCCUCCGCGCUCUCUCCCUCUCUUUGGGUGUAUGGAUAUAUUAUAAUAUAUCCGUGAUCCAUGACCUUAGCUAACCAAUUAGCGUUUUCUCUGUGUUGUCGCUUGCGUGUGUCGUCAUUGGUCGUGAACUUCUGGGAGGAGCGUAGAGAGGUGGAGAAACGGAAGUCGGGAAACAGAUUAAAACCAACGUCUGAAGCGUUAGCUCGGUUUGUCAGUACUGUGAGAAAACUCAAUUACCGAAGAAGCCUGGAUGCUAAAACAAACUGUGAAGUUGCUUUUUUGUCGAAGAUGAGUGAGACAUGGACGCUGAACAUACCUGCGGCGCGAAGAUGUCCUCCAGGUGUCACCACUUCGCCCACUGAAAUGGAUAAGAUCCGAGACAUUGUCCAUGACUCACAGAGACAAUGUUCCCCGAUUUGACAGCACUCCAUGAUAAGAGAGACAUUGUCCACGAUCACAGAGUGUCGUCGUAUAAUGAAGAAGUUUUUUGAGACCAGGCCUGAGGCCUCCAGGUGUCACCACUUGGUCAACAUCAUCAUCCACAACCACAUAGACGUCGUCCAUGAUCGCAGAGACGUGGUCCAUCAUCAGAGAGACAUUGUGCCCUGUGUUGGAUGGUUGAUGAAAAGCUGUUGAAUUACCUGGAGGCCUCUGUCCUGGUCUCAAAGAUCAUCUUCAUUGUACGAAGACUCUGUGUGAU